GUGGAUGUGGCUCAGCGAUAGAGUGCUCACCUAGUAGGUGUGAGGCCCUGGGUUCAAUCCUCAGCACCACA
rfam:Ictidomys tridecemlineatus contig044619, whole genome shotgun sequence.